rnacentral:rRNA from 1 species
UACGUAGGGGGCGAGCGUUAUCCGGAUUUAUUGGGCGUAAAGAGCGUGUAGGCGGCCAGGUAGGUCUGCUGUGAAAACUCGAGGCUCAACCUCGAGACGUCGGCGGAAACCAUCUGGCUAGAGUCCGGAAGAGGAGAGUGGAAUUCCUGGUGUAGCGGUGAAAUGCGCAGAUAUCAGGAAGAACACCCGUGGCGAAGGCGGCUCUCUGGGACGGUACUGACGCUGAGACGCGAAAGCGUGGGGAGCAAACAGG